AAACAAACGCGUCGGGGACAAGCAGCGAGUAGUGAAGAAAGGAAACACAACACAACAGAGCUCGAAACUAUUCCUUUUCUUUCCAGACGAGACGACUUUCAUUCAUCUCCUUCUGUUUUAUCUGCUCUGCUUCUUCUUCUUCUUCUUCUUCUUUCUCGCCAUACGCAAUCAUUCCUAAUCCUUCAAUUUAUGCUUUUCAUCUGAUAUCCUUAGUUAAGACUCUGCAAACCACAGAAAUGGCGUUCAUGAGAAGAAAGGACGAACAAUUAACAGCGCUGAUUAAAGAAUAAAAACUAAGUUAUUGAGCCAAUUUGUAUGUAAAAUAAGAAAAAGAGAUAAAAGAGAUAAAAGAGAAAUGCGAACGCUUUGCGACGUGUGUGAGAGUGCCGCCGCGAUCCUCUUCUGCGCCGCCGAUGAAGCCGCGCUUUGCCGCUCUUGUGAUGAGAAGGUCCAUUUGUGUAACAAGCUUGCUAGUCGACAUGUACGUGUUGGGCUUGCUGACCCUAGUGAUGUGCCCCGUUGUGACAUAUGUGAAAAUGCACCUGCUUUCUUUUACUGUGAGAUAGAUGGUAGCUCCCUCUGUCUGCAAUGUGAUAUGAUUGUGCAUGUUGGUGGUAAAAGAACCCAUGGGAGAUAUCUCCUGUUGAGGCAGAGAGUUGAGUUUCCAGGGGACAAGCCUCGCCAUUUGGAUGAAUUAGGACAGCAACCUCUUGAUCAAAAUGAAGUUCGGAGGGACCAAAAUCAGCCACCUAAACUCACGAUGAGAGACAAUAAGCAAAAUCACAGAGAAUCUCCCAUUCCAAUGAUGGAGAAUAACACCGAUGGUGAUCGCAAGAUUGACAAUAAGUUGAUUGAUCUUAAUGCCAGACCUCAGAGGAUACAUGGGCAAAAUUCAACUAACCAUGGUAUGGAUGUUAUGAGUGGUACUAAUCAUGAAUCUGCAAGUGCGGUCCCUGUUGGAUCCUUCAAAAGAGAGCCUGAAAUGUGAGCAAGGUUGCUGAAUAGGAUUCAGGACAGUUUGUUUAGCUAGUGAACAGAAUUUAAAAACAUAAUCCUCGCAUCUUCUGUCGGCGAUAAUUGUUUGCUAAUUGGAUUGGGGGCUAUAGCUUGGCUGAUGGACGAUUAAAGAACUGGAGAGCUUUCAGGUAUGAUGUCUUGGUUGAAAAUCUUAAGGAUCCCGCUCAAUGAGAAGAUUGAAGAUCGGUGGGAGUAUUUUGUUAAUGGGAUAGGCCAAGGGAUCUUGAUUCAACUUAUCAGGGAGGAGAUUGAUACUGUUAGCAUCUCUCUCUCUCUCUCUCGAAUUAAGGCUGCUGCUUCUGCUUGAAAUUCAUUCUUUUUCUGUUCUGUUCUAUCUUGUUGAGACCAACUCAGGAAAGAACGUGCAGUCUUCUGUUAGAGGCUGGUUGCCAAAGCCAUCAAACCAUGUUCAUAUUGUUGAGCAUGCAGCUGACUUCACAGUUCCUUGCGACUUUGGCAAUCCUGGAGCUGUUCUUAUUACCAAUCUUCAUGGCAAGAAGUUCUACUUGGUGGAGAUUGUAAUUCAUUGUCUGGGUGGAGGUCCCUUUUUCUUCUCUGCAAAUGCCUGGAUUCAUUCCCAAAAAGAUAAUCUGAAAGCAGAAUUAUCUUCAGAAAUCAAGCUUACCUACCAUCACAAACACCUCCUGGCAUUAACGAUCUAUGGCAUGAAGACUUGCUUAGCAUUCACGGCUAUGGGAAAGGCAAGAGAAAGCUUCAUGAUAGGAUUUAUCAUUAUACUCCUUAUAAUGAUUUGUGCAAUCCUGACAAGGAUGAAGAUCUUGCUAGACCUUCAUUGGAGGUAGUAAGGAUUUGCCUUAUCCUAGGCGCUGUAGAACUGGCAGACCUCCAACCAAGACAGGCCUAUUCUUUUUAUGAACUUUUGCAUAGAGGUCUUGCAUUGUUACAAGGAAGGAAGGCAUUGCCUAGACCCAUAAAUGCCACUCUGGAGUGAAUACUAGUAAGGCUUCUGAAUAAAAGUGGGCUUUCAGUGUAAUGUGGAGUUGUGGAGAGAUGGAGGAAAUGUUUAGUGAUGUAGAAUAAUUCUACAAUGAAUGUAAUUCCUAAAUUUACUCCUCUUCCAAUAUUGGAUCAUAGUCAUGAGUAUUCCUCAUUAUAAAGUAUAUUUGAGAAGAGGCUCUUUUUAGAGAUGUGAUUGGCCAAAAAUGACUUUGAAUUGGUACAAUUAUUUGAAUCUCAAUUCAACUACCAAAUUUUGUUGAAUUUGUA